UGGCGGACGGGUGAGUAAUGUCUGGGAAACUGCCCGAUGGAGGGGGAUAACUACUGGAAACGGUAGCUAAUACCGCAUAACGUCGCAAGACCAAAGCGGGGGACCUCCGGGCCUCGCGCCAUCAGAUGAACCCAUAUGGGAUUAGCUAGUAGGUGAGGUAACGGCUUACCUAGGCGACGAUCCCUAGCUGGUCUGAGAGGAUGACCAGCCACACUGGAACUGAGACACGGUCCAG
rnacentral:rRNA from 1 species